GACAGCAUGGUAUAGUGUUUUGAGCUUUGGACUAGGACUCUGGAGACCAGGGUUUGAAUCCCUGCUUAGUCA